AAUCUUAGACAAUGGGCGCAAGCCUGAUCUAGCCAUGCCGCGUGAGUGAUGAAGGCCUUAGGGUCGUAAAGCUCUUUCGCCAGGGGAUGAUAAUGACAGUACCUGGUAAAGAAACCCCGGACUAACUCCGUGCCAGCAGCCGCGGUAAUACGGAGGGGUUAGCGUUGUUCGGAAUUACUGGGCGUAAAGCGCGCGUAGGCGGAUUAGUCAGUUAGAGGUGAAAUCCCAGGGCUCAACCCUGGAACUGCCUUUAAUACUGCUAGUCUUGAGUUCGAGAGAGGUGAGUGGAAUUCCGAGUGUAGAGGUGAAAUUCGUAGAUAUUCGGAGGAACACCAGUGGCGAAGGCGGCUCACUGGCUCGAUACUGACGCUGAGGUGCGAAAGUGUGGGGAGCAAACAGGAUUAGAUACCCUGGUAG
rnacentral:rRNA from 1 species